GACGAACGCUGGCGGCGUGCUUAACACAUGCAAGUCGAACGGAAAGGCCUGCUUUCCCUUGUGGCUUGCGGAUACUCGAGUGGCGAACGGGUGAGUAACACGUGAGUGAUCUGCCCCCAACUUGGGUAUAAGCCUGGGAAACUGGGUCUAAUUCCCGAUAGGACUGCAGGGUGGUGCCUGUGGUGGAAAACGAUUUUCUAGUGGUUGGGGAUGAGCUCGCGGCCUAUCAGCUUGUUGGUGGGGUAAUGGCCUACCAAGGCGGCGACGGGUAGCCGGCCUGAGAGGGUGGACGGCCACAUUGGGACUGAGAUACGGCCCAGACUCCUACGGGAGGCAGCAGUGGGGAAUAUUGCACAAUGGGCGGAAGCCUGAUGCAGCGACGCCGCGUGGGGGAUGACGGCCUUCGGGUUGUAAACUCCUUUCGACCGCGAGGAAGCCACCUGGUUGGAAGGGUGGUGACGGUAGUGGUAGAAGAAGCACCGGCUAACUACGUG
rnacentral:rRNA from 1 species